AUAAUAAAUAACUGCCUUUGUUCAUAAAAAACACCCCAAUAACUUGAAAAUAUAUCACAUGCAAUUACCAUGACAUUAAAGAGGAUUUAGUUCUAGCGGGAGCUGGAGGCACACAUGAUUAAUUUUUAAUUGUGUAAUUAAAUACGGA